rnacentral:sRNA from 1 species
GCUGGGUGUGGUGACGCUCACCUGUAAUCCCAGCUGCUCAGGAGGCUGAGGCAGGAGAAUCACUUGGAGCAGGGAGGUGGAGGUUGCAGUGAGCUGAGAUGGCACCAGUGCACUCCAGCCUGGGGACAGACUGAGUCUCAAAAAAAAAAAAAAUGUUUCAGAGCAAAAUCUUGCUGUCACCCAGGCUGGAGUGUAGUGGUGCCAUCACAGCUCACUGUAGCCUUGAACUCCUGGGCUCAAGGGAUCCACCUGCCUCA